AACGAACGCUGGCGGCAUGCCUAACACAUGCAAGUCGAACGAGACCUUCGGGUCUAGUGGCGCACGGGUGCGUAACGCGUGGGAACCUGCCCUUAGGUUCGGAAUAACUCCCCGAAAGGGGUGCUAAUACCGGAUAAUGUCUUCGGACCAAAGAUUUAUCGCCUUUGGAUGGGCCCGCGUUGGAUUAGCUAGUUGGUAGGGUAAAAGCCUACCAAGGCGACGAUCCAUAGCUGGUCUGAGAGGAUGAUCAGCCACACUGGGACUGAGACACGGCCCAGACUCCUACGGGAGGCAGCAGGUGGGAAUAUUGGACAAUGGGCGAAAGCCUGAGCCAGCAAUGCCGCGUGAGUGAUGAAGGCCUUAGGGUUGUAAAGCUCUUUUACCCGGGAUGAUAAUGACAGUACCGGGAGAAUAAGCUCCGGCUAACUCCGUG
rnacentral:rRNA from 1 species